rnacentral:rRNA from 1 species
UUGACGGGGGCCCGCACAAGCGGCGGAGCAUGCGGAUUAAUUCGAUGCAACGCGAAGAACCUUACCAAGGCUUGACAUGGACCGGACCGCCGCAGAAAUGUGGUUUCUCCUUUUGGGGCCGGUUCACAGGUGGUGCAUGGUUGUCGUCAGCUCGUGUCGUGAGAUGUUGGGUUAAGUCCCGCAACGAGCGCAACCCUCGUUCCAUGUUGCCAGCGCGUAAUGGCGGGGACUCAUGGGAGACUGCCGGGGUCAACUCGGAGGAAGGUGGGGACGACGUCAAAUCAUCAUGCCCCUUAUGUCUUGGGCUUCACGCAUGCUACAAUGGCCGGUACAAAGGGUUGCGAUACUGUGAGGUGGAGCUAAUCCCAAAAAGCCGGUCUCAGUUCGGAUUGGGGUCUGCAACUCGACCCCAUGAAGUCGGAGUCGCUAGUAAUCGCAGAUCAGCAACGCUGCGGUGAAUACGUUCCCGGGCCUUGUACACACCGCCCGUCAAGUCACGAAAGUUGGUAACACCCGAAGCCG